CCUACGGGAGGCAGCAGUGGGGAAUAUUGCACAAUGGGGGAAACCCUGAUGCAGCCAUGCCGCGUGUGUGAAGAAGGCCUUCGGGUUGUAAAGCACUUUCAGCGACGAGGAAGGGUGUUGUGUUAAUAGCGCAGCACAUUGACGUUAGUCGCAGAAGAAGCACCGGCUAACUCCGUGCCAGCAGCCGCGGUAAUACGGAGGGUGCAAGCGUUAAUCGGAAUUACUGGGCGUAAAGCGUACGUAGGCGGCGUGUUAAGCAAGAUGUGAAAGCCCCGGGCUCAACCUGGGAAUUGCAUUUUGAACUGGCAUGCUAGAGUCCUGAAGAGGGUGGUAGAAUUUCCAGUGUAGCGGUGAAAUGCGUAGAUAUUGGAAGGAAUACCGGUGGCGAAGGCGGCCACCUGGUCAGAGACUGACGCUGAGGUACGAAAGCGUGGGGAGCA
rnacentral:rRNA from 1 species